GUUUAUGUAUCGACGUGAUAAACACCUAAGUUGAUCGUGUUUGUGACGUCGUAUAUCGCCGUCAUAAAUACCUAAGUUAAUCGUGUUUAUGACGUCGAAUAUCAACGUCAUAAACACCAAAGUUGAUCGUGUUUAUGACGUCGAAUAUCGACGUCACAAACACCAAAGUUGAUCGUGUUUAUUACGUCGAAUAUCGAC
rnacentral:miRNA from 1 species